UCAAGCGUGAGGUAAGAGCAUUUGGUGAAUGCCUUGGCAUAUACAGGCGAUGAAGGACGUGGCACGCUGCGAUAAGCGUGGGGGAGCCGUGAGCAGGCUUUGAUCCCACGAUUUCCGAAUGGGGAAACCCAUCCUCACUAUUUAAUUUCGCUGCUGAGCAAUCAGUGUCGGAGUUAAAUAGGAAGGAUAUCACUUAGCUGAAUAAAAUAGGCUUAGUGAAGCGAACCCGGAGAACUGAAACAUCUCAGUACCCGGAGGAAAAGACAUCAACCGAGAUUCCGUUAGUAGUGGCGAGCGAACGCGGACCAGGCCAGUGCCUGGUGUUUAAUUAGCAAAAGCUUCUGGAAAGUAGCGCCAUAGUGGGUGACAGCCCCGUAUGCGAAAAUGAAACAUCAGGACUUGAGUAGGGCGGGACACGUGUAAUCCUGUCUGAAUAUAGGGGGACCACCCUCUAAGCCUAAAUACUCGUAUAUGACCGAUAGCGAACUAGUACCGUGAGGGAAAGGUGAAAAGCACCCCGAUGAGGGGAGUGAAACAGUACCUGAAACCGAAUGCUUACAAUCAGUUGGAGCCUCUUUAUGGGGUGACAGCGUACCUCUUGUAUAAUGGGUCUGUGACUUAAUGUAUCAUGCAAGCUUAAGCCGUUAGGUGUAGGCGUAGCGAAAGCGAGUCUGAAUAGGGCGACUGAGUAUGAUGCAUUAGACCCGAAACCCGGCGAUCUAUGCAUGACCAGGUUGAAGGUGCGGUAACACGCACUGGAGGACCGAACCGUUCAAUGUUGAAAAAUUGUCGGAUGAGUUGUGCUUAGGGGUGAAAGGCCAAUCAAGCCGGGAAAUAGCUGGUUCUCCGCGAAAACUAUUGAGGUAGUGCCUCGGAUGUUUUCCGAUGGGGGUAGAGCACUGGAUGGAUGCGGGGGUCGCGAGAUCUACCAAUUCUAACCAAACUCCGAAUACCAUCGAGUUAGUCCGGGAGACAGACGGCGGGUGCUAAGGUCCGUCGUCAAAAGGGAAACAGCCCUAACCUACAGCUAAGGUCCCCAAAUCAUAUCUAAGUGGUGAAGCAUGUGGGAUUUCCAAAACAACCAGGAGGUUGGCUUAGAAGCAGCCAUCCUUUAAAGAAAGCGUAACAGCUCACUGGUCUAAAUAAGAGAUCCUGCGGCGAAAAUGUAACGGGGCUAAAGAUAUGUACCGAAGCUUAGGGUGUGCAAUUUAUUGCAUGCGGUAGCGGAGCGUUCCGUAGGCCGAUGAAGCGAUCUGGUAAUGGGUCGUGGAGGUAUCGGAAGUGCGAAUGCAGACAUGAGUAGCGAUAGGAGGGUGAGACACCCUCCCGCCGAAAGACCAAGGGUUCCUGCUUAAAGCUAAUCUGAGCAGGGUAAGCCGGCCCCUAAGACGAGCCCGAAGGGGGUAGUCGAUGGGAACCACGUUAAUAUUCGUGGGCCUGGUGGUGUGUGACGGAUCUCGUGAGUUGUAUCUCCUUAUUGGAUUGGAGGUGCUUCGAAGAGGUUCCAGGAAAUAGCCCCACCGUAUAGACCGUACCCGAAACCGACACAGGUGGUCAGGUAGAGUAUACCAAGGCGUUUGAGAGAAGUAUCCUGAAGGAACUCGGCAAAUUGCCUCCGUACCUUCGGAAGAAGGAGGCCCUCACAUUGCGCAAGCAGUAUGAGGGGGCACAGGCCAGGGGGUAGCGACUGUUUAGCAAAAACACAGGACUCUGCUAAGUCGGCUUCAAGACGACGUAUAGGGUCUGACGCCUGCCCGGUGCUGGAAGGUUAAGAGGAGGAGUGCAAGCUCCGAAUUGAAGCCCCAGUAAACGGCGGCCGUAACUAUAACGGUCCUAAGGUAGCGAAAUUCCUUGUCGGGUAAGUUCCGACCUGCACGAAUGGCGUAACGAC
rnacentral:rRNA from 1 species